rnacentral:tRNA from 1 species
GGCCCCGUAGCUCAGCUGGAUAGAGCAGCUGCGUCCUAAGCAGACGGUCGGGAGUUCGAAUCUCUCCGGGGUCGCCA